AACGACUCUCGGCAACGGAUAUCUCGGCUCUCGCAUCGAUGAAGAACGUAGCGAAAUGCGAUACUUGGUGUGAAUUGCAGAAUCCCGUGAACCAUCGAGUUUUUGAACGCAAGUUGCGCCCCAAGCCUUCUGGCCGAGGGCACGUCUGCCUGGGUGUCACAAA
rnacentral:rRNA from 1 species